rnacentral:lncRNA from 1 species
UAUGAUGAGGACGCUGAGGCAGCAGACACCGUAACCAUGGAAGCUACUACAGGAAGACCACGAAGAGAAGUAUCAAAACCUAGAUACUUAGUAGACUACGUGUAAGCAAUAGAACAUGGCUGUUAGUUAGUUACAAGGCCGUUAAGUUCGUUGUAACCACUUGUAAGUAGUUACGUACAGAUGCACGCAUGAACACAGUGUAUAAAGAGAACCUUCCGUGAAUGAAUAAAGGCGCGCAGAAUUUACCCUUUUGAGUAGACUUGAUCCUUAGGAGGGACCUUGACCUCGAAACAAGGCUUACACUCCCCUUCCCUAUUCACUCCAUAACACUGGUCCGACCUGCCGUCCUCCAUGGCAGAGCAUGGAACUCGUCGAACCACCACAGAUCGCCUCGAGGAGGCCAUAGCCACCCUCACUGAAAAACAUUCCGACUUAGCCAACAAGUUCGAAGCCAUCUGCGAACGCCUCUCCCAUAUGUCUUCUUCCGCCCCUACACCCCCUUCCAUGCCGCGGCCACCGGUCAAACUUGACGUUCCAAGGUUUGACGGUCACGAUCCACUUGGGUGGAUCUUCAAAAUCUCACAGUUUUUCGAUUAUCAGGGUACUCCGGAAGAAGAUCGUAUCAUGGUAGCUUCAUUUUACUUGGAUGGCGCAGCAUUAAGCUGGUUUCAGUGGAUGUUCCGGAAUGGGUUCAUCACCUCUUGGACAGCUCUUCUCCAAGCCAUCGAAUCCCGUUUUGCUCCUUCAGUCUACGACGACCCCCGUGGUGCCCUAUUCAAGUUGACUCAACGCUCCACUGUUACAGAAUACCUCACAGAAUUUGAGAAACUCGCGAAUCGCAUCACCGGUUUGUCGCCAUCAGUGCUUCUCAGCUGUUUCAUCUCCGGCCUUAGCCCGGAGAUACGCCGUGAGGUACAAGCAUUUCAACCCUCUUCACUCCCCAAAGCCACGGCUCUCGCUCGCUUGCAAGAAGAUAAGAUCAAUGAUAGACGCAAGCACACCCGCAUCCCCUUCAACCAUUCUCCCACAAACACUACCCCCUCUAACCCUCAGUCGUCACAACAGCCACGGCCAAAAGCCCCGUUUGUUCAGCGAACCCAAGAAGACAUGGCUUAUAGACGAGAGAAGGGACUCUGCUAUAAUUGUGAUGAAAAGUGGAACUCCUCACACCGGUGUAAGGGACGAGUUCUUUUCUUCAUUGCCAACUCCGAUGAAACCUCCUCACCGGAAUCCAGUCCUUCGGACCCCUCGUCUCCAUUAAAGUCCGAACACGACCACACGUUACUCGAAGCUACUCAAGCCUUUGAUCUUACUCCUCUACAACCGCACAUUAGUCUCCACGCCAUGGCCGGUGUUCCUGCUACGGACACUUUCAGACUAUACGGUCUCAUCAACAAAACUCGUGUUACCAUUCUCGUAGAUAGCGGCAGCACUCACAACUUCGUUCAACCUCGAGUUGCGAAGUUCCUCAAUCUUCCCUUACACGACACACAGCCCCUCAGGGUUAUGGUAGGCAAUGGUUCGGUAUUGGAUUGCCAGCAGAUGAUUCCGGACACCACAAUACUCAUUCAAGAGCACCGCUUCGUGGUCACGUUGCGUCUUUUGCCAUUAAGCGGUGCCGAUGUCGUUUUGGGGGUCGAGUGGUUGCGAACGUUGGGCCCGGUAAUUACGGAUUACACCGAUUUUACUAUGAAAUUCACCCUUUUUGGCAGGCCCAUUCACCUUCGUGCAGACGUACAAGUGAACACUAGCCCAGUUUCGGCCCAUCAGGUGAGACGCCUCAUCUCUACCAAAUCCACUUCGGGCCUCUUUCACCUAUCAUUACAACCCAUUCCUUCAUCCGAAAUGCUAAACACCACCCCUCACCCCGUCCCCGCCAUUGAUAAACUUUUGAACAAAUAUCAGUCCCUAUUCGAAGCACCCACAGGCCUUCCCCCACCACGACAACAUGACCACCAAAUAAACUUACUUCCAUCAGCUCACCCCAUUAACGUCAGACCAUAUCGGUACCCCUACUCCCAAAAGACUGAAAUAGAAAAACAAGUUUCCGCCCUUCUCGACUCCGGUUUAAUCCAACCCAGUAGAAGCCCAUUUUCUUCUCCAGUGUUACUGGUAAAGAAGAAAGACGGGACAUGGCGCAUGUGUGUAGAUUACAGAGCUUUAAACUCCAUCACGGUUCGCGACAGGUUCCCAUUACCUACCAUCGACGAACUCUUAGACGAGUUAGGCCAAGCCUCGUGGUUCUCCAAGCUAGAUUUGAGACAAGGGUUUCAUCAGAUCUUGAUGGCAGAAGCCGACGUCCCAAAGACAGCUUUUCGGACCCAUGAAGGGCACUAUGAAUAUCGGGUCAUGCCAUUCGGGUUGUGUAACGCCCCAUCAACCUUUCAGGCUGCCAUGAAUACCUUGCUCCGACCAUUUUUACGAAAGUUCACGGCGGUAUUUUUUGACGACAUACUCAUUUACAGUGCCUCCCUCCAGGACCACCUUCAGCAUUUGGAGUGCGUCUUUCGUUCCCUCUCCCAAGCCAAGUACUUUCUUAAAAGAUCCAAGUGCUUGUUUGGACAGCGUCAGCUUGAUUAUCUAGGCCACGUGAUCUCCGGCACGGGAGUACAACCAGAUCCCUCAAAAGUACAGGUCAUCCUUGAUUGGCCCCGGCCGUCCUCUCCAAGAGACCUCCGUGCAUUUCUAGGCCUUACCGGGUUCUACCGGAAAUUUGUGCGAAGCUACGCGUCCAUUGCGGCACCGUUAACCCAGCUCCUUUGCAAGGACGCCUUUUAUUGGAACGAGGAGUCUCAAAAGGCCUUUCACGAUCUCAAGUUAGCUCUGACAGCCGCGCCGGUGCUUGCCCUUCCGGAUUUCUCCCUACCAUUUUCGCUAGAGACAGAUGCAUCGAGCUAUGCUAUGGGUGCAGUCCUUCAUCAACGAGGACAUCCCAUAGCGUUCUUCAGCAAACCUCUGGGGCCACGACUUCAACACGCCUCCGCAUAUGUCCGAGAGUUGCAUGCUAUCGUCGCCGCCGUCCGCAAGUGGAGACAGUACUUGCUAGGUCAUCGGUUCAUCAUUUACACCGAUCAUCGUAGUAUACGAGAACUAAUAUCUCAGACGAUCCAAACUCCGGAGCAACAGUUUUAUCUCACUAAGCUACUUGGAUUUGACUAUGAUAUUCAAUACAAAGCUGGAAAUUCGAACGUAGUAGCUGAUUCUCUUUCCCGUAUAAGUAACUCCGCUCAAGGGCAAUGUCUCAUUCUUUCGGUUCCACACCCUGAGUUUCUACAACAACUCAAACAGUCGUUACUUGCGAACCCAGAUUUCCGGCGCCAUCGCGAAGCAAUCCAAGCGACACCCACCGAUCACCCCGACUUCUCUAUAUCGGGUGACUUCGUCCUAUUCAAGGGGGCCAUUUGGAUUAACGAGCAGAAUCCCUUCAUUCCGGCGUUACUCCAUGAAUAUCAUGCUUCCCCUCUCGCGGGCCAUUUCGGUGUUAAAAAAACACUUCAUCGUCUUCGUCCAAAAUUUCAGUGGACCAAUAUGCUCCGUGAUAUCAAAACCUUCGUCCGCAACUGUCACACUUGUCAACAAGUGAAACCCGUCACACGCAAGAGUGCUGGUCUAUUACACCCCAUCCCAAUCCCUUCAACUAUCUGGGAGGACCUCUCUAUGGAUUUCGUGACCCACCUUCCAAGCUCCAAUGGAUUCACGACUAUCCUUGUCGUCGUUGACAGGUUCUCCAAGGGGGUACACUUGGGAGCCUUACCCGCCCAUUACACAGCUUUUAAGGUCGCCAACCUCUUCCUUAACAUCGUAUGCAAACUACACGGGUUUCCCCGGAGCAUUAUUUCCGACCGAGACCCCAUUUUUAUUAGCUCCUUUUGGAGAGAACUUUUCCGGCUCAGUGGGACGACGUUACGCAUGAGUACGGCGUAUCAUCCCCAGUCCGAUGGGCAAACCGAAGUGAUGAACCGUACGAUUGAGCAAUAUCUUCGUUCCUUCGUUCACCACAACCCGGCAAACUGGUUUAAAUUCUUAGCCCUAGCUGAAUGGUCUUACAACACGUCUCAGCACUCCGGCACCGACUUCACUCCUUACGAGGUCACUUAUGGUAAGCCUCCUCCGGCCAUCUCCAAUUACAUCAAGGGGUCAUCACGCAAUGAUGCUGUCGAUACCAUGCUAGCCACGCGAGACGCCAUUCACGCCACGCUUCGUCGGAAGCUAUUAAAGGCUCAAGAGAAUAUGAAGCUUUUCGCGGAUAAAAGCCGCCGUGAUGUUCAGUAUGAAGUGGGCCAACUGGUCUAUGUUCGCCUUCGUCCUCAUCGUCAGCACUCCUUACGAGAUCAAACCUCCAGCAAGCUCACCAAACGCUAUUUCGGCCCGUUCCCCAUACUUGAACGAAUUGGUACGGUGGCAUAUCGGUUGCAACUCCCCGAGGCUUCUAAGAUCCAUCCCGUCUUCCACUGUUCCAUGUUACGCCCUCACCACGGUCCCUUAGACCUUCCAGUUUCCACUCUUCCACCGGACGCGGUUCAGAACCAACCCAUCAUGAAGCCAUUGACCAUUCUUGACUCACGCAUGGAUUCCUCUACCCAACCUCCAACUCGUCUCGUCUUGGUGCAGUGGGAGGGUCUCACACCCGAAGAUUCUUCUUGGGAAGUAUGGGACGACAUUCGCCGGUCUCAUCACCUUGCGGACAAGGUGAUCUUUGCAGGUCGGGGUAAUGAUGAGGACGCUGAGGCAGCAGACACCGUAACCAUGGAAGCUACUACAGGAAGACCACGAAGAGAAGUAUCAAAACCUAGAUACUUAGUAGACUACGUGUAAGCAAUAGAACAUGGCUGUUAGUUAGUUACAAGGCCGUUAAGUUCGUUGUAACCACUUGUAAGUAGUUACGUACAGAUGCACGCAUGAACACAGUGUAUAAAGAGAACCUUCCGUGAAUGAAUAAAGGCGCGCAGAAUUUACCCUUUUGAGUAGACUUGAUCCUUAGGAGGGACCUUGACCUCGAAACAAGGCUUACACUCCCCUUCCCUAUUCACUCCAUAA